rnacentral:rRNA from 1 species
GAUGAACGCUAGCGGCAGGCUUAACACAUGCAAGUCGAGGGGCAACACGGGUAGCAAUACCUGGUGGCGACCGGCGCAAGGGUGCGUAACGCGUGAGCAACAUGCCCUAUACAGGGGGAUAAUCCAGGGAAACUUGGUCUAAUAUCCCAUAGUAUUUAGAGGUGGCAUCACCACUAAAUUAAAGCUUCGGUGGUAUAGGAUUGGCUCGCGUGACAUUAGCUGGAUGGUGGGGUAACGGCUCACCAUGGCGAUGAUGUCUAGGGGUUCUGAGAGGAAGACCCCCCACACUGGGACUGAGACACGGCCCAGACUCCUACGGGAGGCAGCAGUGAGGAAUAUUGGACAAUGGAUGGAAAUCUGAUCCAGCCAUGCCGCGUGCAGGAAGACGGCCCUAUGGGUUGUAAACUGCUUUUAUAUGGGAGCAAUAAGGGUUUACGCGUAGACCGAUGAGAGUACCAUAUGAAUAAGCAUCGGCUAACUCCG